rnacentral:rRNA from 1 species
CCUAACACAUGCAAGUCGAACGGUAACAGGAAACAGCUUGCUGUUUCGCUGACGAGUGGCGGACGGGUGAGUAAUGUCUGGGAAACUGCCUGAUGGAGGGGGAUAACUACUGGAAACGGUAGCUAAUACCGCAUAACGUCGCAAAACCAAAGAGGGGGACCUUCGGGCCUCUUGCCAUCGGAUGUGCCCAGAUGGGAUUAGCUAGUAGGUGGGGUAACGGCUCACCUAGGCGACGAUCCCUAGCUGGUCUGAGAGGAUGACCAGCCACACUGGAACUGAGACACGGUCCAGACUCCUACGGGAGGCAGCAGUGGGGAAUAUUGCACAAUGGGCGCAAGCCUGAUGCAGCCAUGCCGCGUGUAUGAAGAAGGCCUUCGGGUUGUAAAGACUUUCAGC